rnacentral:tRNA from 1 species
GGGUAUCGCCAAGCGGUAAGGCACCGGAUUCUGAUUCCGGCAGUCACAGGUUCGAAUCCCGUCGUAGCCACCA